AGUGUUAACUCAGUCAAACUCGUUAAACCUUCCAAUUUUACCAGAAACCGAUUUUACCUCAGAGUUAACACGAUUUUUGUACCUAAAAACGUAAACUCGGUAAUCUCGAAGAGUUAACACUCGAUUUGCGGAACAUUGAUUACGACAUACUCUCUAUCAUAAUAUUCUCAAUACAAUUUUUUAUUUUUUUGAGAUAGAGAGAGGGAG
rnacentral:lncRNA from 1 species